CACCUGGGAAGCCUGUAGAGCAGUGGCUAAAAGGUGGUGUUUGGCCUAAUGUCGUUUGGCCUUCUCUAGUUUUGCCUGUUCUUCCCUGUUGUUUAAAACCUUAAAGGCUAAAUUUAAAAGGUCUUGUUGAAGGGUUUGAGGGCCUUCUUCUGCCUUUUUUAGUUGGAUAUUAGGGGAUGACUGGGAGAUAAAAUGGGUGUUAAGGACAGUGGUGCCCUCUGCUGAAGUGGGGUCUAAUCUUGUAUAUUUUUGUAGGGCUUCCGUUAACCUGGCUAGAAUUUGUGCCGGAUUUUCAUCUAGUCCUUGAGUUACUAGCUGGAGCUUAUCAAGGAUGAUGGUUUUACAUCCUGCCUUUUGAAGGCUCACAAUGAGGCAAGCAAUCAUAUGAUUACAGGCUGCCCACCCAGGUCUCUCUGCCUGAUAAUCCCAGUUGGGAUCAUCUCUGGGGACAUGUGUAUCUCAUCAGCAUGUGCCUGAGAGGCUUACCAUACUCUUUCCUCCUCUUCUGGGAGAAGAGUGGAGGAAAGUAUGAUGUAAAUGUCAUGGCAGGUUAAGUCAUAAGAUUGGGUAAGAUACCUGAAUUCUUUUAGAUACUUAGCUGGCAUCUGAGGAGAAGGAGCCAGGAUGCUUUUUGAUUUGAGAUAGGUCGAUGAGGGAGAAUGGGGCAUGAACCUGAACAAUGCCUCCUGCUCCAGCUGCAUCCUGUAAGGGGAGGAGAAGAGCAGGGAAAGGAGUGGGGUCCUGCUGUGAAGUUUCCUGCUUUAAAGCUGGUAUGGGGAGGGGAUCUAGGGAGGUCAGGGAAGAAGAAAAGUCUGAACGGAGAUUGGGAGACAUUGUGUUAGGAGGAUGUGGCCCUGAGAGGGGUAAGAGUAUUUGAGCAGUAGAACAGGAUUCACAGAGGGAGGGUCGAGAGCGAAGAGCAAAGAAAGCCUGCACAUGAGGGAUCUCUGACCGCCUGCCUUUGCGGUGGCAGAAGUUAUCGAGAUCCUGUAGAGUGUUAUAAUAGAGAGUUCCGUUUUCUGGCCAUUGGGACUUAUUAAUCAAGUCUGUAUUGUGGCCAGACAGUGUUAGAAUAGUGAAUAAGUCUUUCUGGUGUUAACUCCCCUUGGAAGCCCAAGGCUUUUAGGUUUUGGAGAAGGCAUCCUAGAAGAGUAGAUUUUGAAGGCUGGGAUUGAGAAUUUCCCAUUGUGGCUGAAUAGGGUAGACAAGGGUGAGAGAGCGAGGAGAAAGGUCUGAGAGAAAAGCCAUCCCCAUUCCCAGGACCUUCUCAGAAAGUAAUAAUAGUCUGCUUUGAAAUGAGCGUCCCCUAUUUCAAAGUCAGAUGGGGCACAAGGCCAAGGGCCAGAGGGCCGUGGGGAUCCUCCCGCCCUUGUAACCGAUGGAUGAAAUGUGGGCCAGUGUGUGGAUGUCAGUCCAGCAAGUCAAGUGGAGAGUCCUGUCCUGGGGCUCGUCUCAGUUUCUCGGCAAGAUCCAAGGGAGGGGACCACCAGAGGUGAGCUUGUGAGAGGGGACCUCCCAGUUGCGGUGGAUCUUCCCUCCUGGCACCAGAAUGUAAGACGAGUGUGGAGAAAAAGAGAGUGAGCCGGGCAGUCAGGCAAGAAAAGGAGAUUUAUUAGAGGGAAAUGAGAGGGUGACUGGCCCUUGAUUAGAACCCUUUCUGAUGGAGUCUUUCUUAUACCCUGCCAGUGCAAAAUUCUCUGAAGGGAUAGUUAAUUUUUAGCCUGGAGUUAGGUCAUGUGGUCAUGCAGCUGGAGGUCUGGAAUCUGAUGGUCUCCUAGCUUUGAGAAGGUAGGUACCAGCGGGAAAACAGAAUGUCGUUUGGGCAAUUUGGUCAGUCUCAAGGGUCACUGUGAUUUUAUUCUUCGUUUGCGAGGUCAACAUAAUGAGCCAUUUUAACCAUGAGCCCCCAUGUAGGCCUUGUUAAAGUCCACAGUAUUUUUUUCUUCUGCAUACUGGCUUUUUGUGUGUUAAAACUCAGAACUCAUGAUCUGCAGAGCAAAGCCAAGGUCAUGUAGAUUUUCUUCUGUGUUUCUGUGUAAUUUUGAUAGUUUUGCAUUUUAAAUGGCUGUUAGUAAAUUUGAGUGAAUUUGGUAUAAGUUUGACAGUUUGUGUUCACAGUCAUUUCAUUUCAUGUGGUUUCCAGUUAAUUGUUCUGUAACUUUUGGAGAAAUCGUGAGAUAUUUGUCUCUAUUUCAAUUUGAAUUUCUGCCAUUUACUGUCUGCUGUAGAACCACCCUCGGGGCGGGGCCUGACCUGUGAGGGAGGCCAUGUCUGCACUCUCCCAUUGGCUGUCAGGGAAGGCAGAGCUCACCUCCCUGAGCUGGGGUGGGAAAGCCCAAGGGUGUAGCUCUGCCCUCAGCUGAUGGGAUCCCUGUCUCCUCAGGACCUGCUGGGGCUUCGGCUUGUGGAAUGCUGGAAUCUGAGUCCUUGGUGACAGCCUGGGCUUCAAGACAGCCCCAGGGGAGAGUCCACGCUGAUGGGAGCCUGCUCUCCCCAGGACCCACGGGGGAUUCAGCCUUAGGACCUUGUGGCGUCCAGUUCACAUGGACAGGUGCUCGGUCUCCUGGGGACCCGCCAGGAGGUAGUGGGAGGAAAAGGAGAGGGAACUCCAGGCUGCAGAUGCCCUGGAACUGGAGAGCAAGGAAUCUGCAGCUCCACAUGGACGUGGCCUUAGUGUGGCAGGAUUUGCUCGGCAUUGCCUCCUGAGAAAUCUGCAUGCAGGUCAAGAAGCAACAGUUAGAACUGGACAUGGAACAACAGACUGCUUCCAACUUGAGAAAGGAAUACGUCAAGGCUGUAUAUUGUCACCCUGCUUAUUUAACUUAUACGCAGAGUACAUCAUGUGAAAUGCUGGGAUGGAUGAAGCACAAGCUGGAAUCAAGAUUGCCAGGAGAAAUGUCAAUAACCUCAGAUACUCAGAUGACACCACCAUUAUGGCAGAAAGCAAAGAGAACUAAAGAGCUUCUUGAUGAAAGUGAAAGAGGAGAG
ensembl:lncRNA